rnacentral:rRNA from 1 species
UACAGAGGUCUCAAGCGUUGUUCGGAUUCAUUGGGCGUAAAGGGUGCGUAGGUGGUGCCGUAAGUCGGGUGUGAAAUCUCGGGGCUCAACCCCGAAACUGCAUUCGAUACUGCCGUGCUUGAGGACUGGAGAGGAGACUGGAAUUUACGGUGUAGCGGUGAAAUGCGUAGAUAUCUGGAGGAACACCGGUGGCGAAGGCGGCAUCCUGGACCGACACUGACGCUGAGGAGCGAAAGCCAGGGGAGCAAACGGG